rnacentral:rRNA from 1 species
GUUUAAAGGGAGCGUAGGCUGGAGAUUAAGUGUGUUGUGAAAUGUAGACGCUCAACGUCUGAAUUGCAGCGCAUACUGGUUUCCUUGAGUACGCACAACGUUGGCGGAAUUCGUGGUGUAGCGGUGAAAUGCUUAGAUAUGACGAAGAACUCCGAUUGCGAAGGCAGCUGACGGGAGCGCAACUGACGCUUAAGCUCGAAGGUGCGGGUAUCGAACAGGAUUAGAUACCCUGGUAGUCCGCACAGUAAACGAUGGAUGCCCGCUGUUGGUACCUGGUAUCAGCGGCUAAGCGAAAGCAUUAAGCAUCCCACCUGGGGAGUACGCCGGCAACGGUGAAACUCAAAGGAAUUGACGGGGGCCCGCACAAGCGGAGGAACAUGUGGUUUAAUUCGAUGAUACGCGAGGAACCUUACCCGGGCUUGAAUUGCAGAGGAAGGAUUUAGAGAUAAUGACGCCCUUCGGGGUCUCUGUGAAGGUGCUGCAUGGUUGUCGUCAGCUCGUGCCGUGAGGUGUCGGCUUAAGUGCCAUAACGAGCGCAACCCCUCUCUUCAGUUGCCAUCAGGUUAAGCUGGGCACUCUGGAGACACUGCCACCGUAAGGUGUGAGGAAGGUGGGGAUGACGUCAAAUCAGCACGGCCCUUACGUCCGGGGCUACACACGUGUUACAAUGGCCGGUACAGAGGGAUGGUGUAAUGCAAAUUGCAUCAAAUCUUGAAAGCCGGUCCCAGUUCGGACUGGGGUCUGCAACCCGACCCCACGAAGCUGGAUUCGCUAGUAAUCGCGCAUCAGCCAUGCCGCGGUGAAUACGUUCCCGGGCCUUGUACACACCGCCCGUCAAGCCAUGAAAGCCGGGGGUGCCUGAAGUCCGUGACCGCAAGGAUCGGCCUAGGGCAAAACUGGUGAUUGGGGCUAAGUCGUAACAAGGUAGCCGUACCGGAAGGUGCGGCUGGAACACCUCCUUUCU